rnacentral:rRNA from 1 species
GGAUGAACGCUGACAGAAUGCUUAACACAUGCAAGUCUACUUGAAUUUGGGUUUUUUAACUUAGAUUUGGGUGGCGGACGGGUGAGUAACGCGUAAAGAACUUGCCUCACAGCUAGGGACAACAUUUGGAAACGAAUGCUAAUACCUGAUAUUAUGAUUAUAAGGCAUCUUAGAAUUAUGAAAGCUAUAUGCGCUGUGAGAGAGCUUUGCGUCCCAUUAGCUAGUUGGAGAGGUAACGGCUCACCAAGGCGAUGAUGGGUAGCCGGCCUGAGAGGGUGAACGGCCACAAGGGGACUGAGACACGGCCCUUACUCCUACGGGAGGCAGCAGUGGGGAAUAUUGGACAAUGGACCAAGAGUCUGAUCCAGCAAUUCUGUGUGCACGAUGACGUUUUUCGGAAUGUAAAGUGCUUUCAGUUGGGAAGAAAAAAAUGACGGUACCAACAGAAGAAGUGACGGCUAAAUACGUG